UCCCCUCCGCGCAGACGCGAGGAGCCAUGGCCGGAGCCGCGGGUGCCGUCUGAGGAACCGUAACUUCCCGGAGAGGGAGCGGGAGGAGAGCUGAGGCGGUGGCGGCGGCGGCAUGGUGACAGGAUCAGCCCGGCCGGCGGGUGUCAGAGUUUGAAUAUGAUAUCACCUGCAAGGCAGCCACAUCACUUCUGAGGAUCUUGCUCAUUUCUGUCAGUAACUUGAAGAAAAGAUGACAGUAGCUCAUAAUCCUCUUGUUGCUAUCAUAAGUUGUUGGAUAACUUCUGGUGCCAUCUUUAGAGGCUUUGUGCCUAUGUAACUCAACAAAACAAAGAAAAACAGGUACCUAAUCACAACACAUGCUUACUUUGUGUUUGCAUGGUAAUAAGGUAGACCGUGUUCAUAACUUAGUUGUACUCUAUUCAUCUAUCUUAUUAAGGAUACUUCUUAUUAAUAUUAGAAAAGAGACUUCGUAUUAAAGUAAGUAGUAGCAGUAGUAAAAGAUACUUCUUACUAAGAUUACUUCUAAUUAAAGAUACUUCAUCCAUCUUAGUAAACGUUGAAUGUUGCUCAACAUCAUUAGUAAGCAUACCUGUCUUACUGGGGGCUUUAUGCUGUUAUCCCUGUAUUGUGUAAGAAAAAUGAAAUAGCCAAAUGCUAUUAUAGGACGCUUGGUAUCAUUCUGUCGUUAACACUCAUUCACAGUUCUUCUCAGAAAAAUGACGUUCAAAGCUAUAAAAUGCAGGUCUGUACACUUGGUUCAUUGAGAAUAAAAGUAUGAAGUUAAACGCAGAAGAAGCUGAAGAUAAAAUUAUCAGAGAGGAGGAGGAUUCUGGAUGGAUUAUCUUUAUUUACCUUAAGAGACUUAAAGGCAGGAUUAAAACAGGCAGUCAAGGAAUGCACAUGGUUGCCAAACAAGUAAAAUAGAGUAUCAGAUCUAUCUGGCACCGCAUUAGGCAAAUAAAGAGAAAGGCUUAUUAAUUACUGUAUUCACAUUAAACAGUAUGUAAAGAAUUAUUAGGAACCAAAUUUUAUAAAAUAGAUUAAAUUAAGAGUAUGUCACCAGACAAAAAAUAAUGCCUCUGCUUGUAUUGACAUACUUUCUGAAUGUACAAAUUUCAUAGAUUGUGUUCUUAUUUGGCCAUCAUAACAUGGUUUAACAUUAUACGGUGUGGGGAGAAAUAUUUUCUUCGUUAACUUCUGUUUUACCUCUGGGAAGAUAUGUCCCAUUUCUUUUAUUUUGAGAACAUAUUCGGUAUUUCUUUUAUAAAACUAUUGUAAAAGGUUAAGAAUUUAAAUAUAUUUUUUGUUGUGCUUUACUUCAGAGACAUCAGGUGGCAGGUAAAACAUUACUUUAUUGAACCCCCUGCCUUUGUUAAAUAAAAAUCAAAUCCUAACACUAAAAUUAAUUCCAUGGCAGAAAAAAUACAGCACAAAAUUUACUGUUCCGAUACCUUUUGAUUAUAACCAAUGGCCAUUCAGAGAUCUACAAAAAAAUAUAGUAGCGGGCAGCUUUAUUCUCUCUCCUAGUAGUAAAGAAAAAAAUACGAUACCCUGCCCACCCUGUUGGCUUGGAGACUAUGGCCUCUCUGCAGGAUUGUGUACUGAUCCUGCCAGUAAUAGAUGCUUUUUUUAAAAAACAUUGACAUAUCCAUCCCCUGUCUGGAGUCCUGUAAAACGUCUGAAGUCCUGAAACAAAGCCAUUUGCCUGAGGACCAUUAGUCCUUCCUGGUACUUUUUCUGCUGGCUCGGUGUAUCAGUGGAUGUGGAUUUACUGCAGCUCUAUAAACAAUCUUCUGGUAACAGUCUCACGGUACCACAGCCCCAUGAGGAGUUACUGAGCCAGGCAACAUUCUAGUCAGUGAUGACCAGAUUUCAGAGUGACAGGAAAUUCACCUCCCCUUAAAACCAUUUUGGUUUUGGAAAAGCUGCUCUUCAAAUCAAAUCCAAUUAACAAACUUAGUAGAAAUCAAAUAAUACCUGCAUAGGUUAACAUGUCAAGCCUAAAAAGGGAGAUUUUAGAGGAGCACAAAUUAUGACUGACUUGUUCCAUAAUUAACCAACCCAAUAUUGGGUCUGGUUUACUGGUAGUGAAAUGCCAAGGAGGAUCAGGUUGAUCAGGGUGGAAAAUACAGCAGGAGGAGGACGCUCUAUUGGUUGUGUGUAGAUUGUACAAAUGUUACACCUAGAUGUCACACAGAGGCUGACUUUUUAAACACUUUCAGUGUCUCUUCCAUGGAACGACUUGUUAGAAGGCUCACAAGAAGAUAGAGAGCUUUUGACUUCACCCUGAGUAGCAUUCAGGAUCGGGUUUGCAAUCUCAUAUUUGAAGAGCCAUUCUGUGACAACCACCUUACUAUAUUUUGAUGCAGUAUCAUUACAGAAGCAGCAGCAAAUUUGUCCUCAGUUUCAAAAAGAGGAACUAUGUAAAAAUAAAAGAGUUUGAACUUUAAAAGUGCAGAUAAAUUAAUUUUUCAGAGGCAGCAAGGAAGCUCUUUAAGAUGCACAUUUUAGAAAUAUGAGGUCUAUAUGCACUUGGAUUAUUAAGGAAGGCCUGAGAAUGGGCAAAAGGGAGACAGCACAGGUAAACAACAGGCUAAAGAAAGUUAAUAGAAACAAGAAGAUUUCUUUAAAAAAAGGUGAUGUAAUACUGAAAUAAAAAAAAUAGAAAAAAAGGGCACAUAUUCCUGCAGAUUAAAUGUAAGAAAACAGUUAGAUUGGGUGCCCCCUUCCCUCCCCCCCUGCAAUCAAAAUAAUCAAAGCAAAUAAUCUUUCUUCAAUCCUUAGGAACAGGAACCUUUCAGAAGUCUGCUGGACUAAUUGAGAACCAUGGUUUUCACAGGACUACUCAAAAUAUACAAGACCGGUGCAGAGAAGUUCAUAAACGUUUUGAAUCAGUGUUCACCAGUGGAUAUCCUGGAAAUGGAAGGGAUUUUGAAGAGAGAAUGGAUAAAACUGAUAAAACAAACAGUAAGAAACCACUAGGACUGGAUGGAAAUUGCUAACAGGUCACCCUGAAGAGGGGAUACUGCAUGAAUGUGCAGGAAUGAACCUAGCCUCAAAGCCCGAAAACACCCUGCUUGCUAAUGAACUCUUUAGCAGGUAAAGUGGAGUGGAUGCGUGCAGAUCCCCUACCAGACUUUUCUGUGACAGCAACAUUUCAGAAGGAAAAUUAAAUGCCUCACAGGAAUUCUGCACAGCCUGUUCUCAUGGAACCAACUUAGAGCUCAUUCGUACUGUUAUCCCUCUUGUACUGCUGUGUUUCUACCAUUCAUCUGAUCGGGUGUCAUUUUUGCUCAUAAAGAGCAGUCUAAAACACCAGACCCACUAUACUGCUUAGAGAUCUUACUUCUUAAAAUAGCUCCAUUUAAUUUUUAGACCCUUUUUGCAAAUUAGGAGUGUUGUGGCAAUUCACAUAUCCUUUACAGCCCUCUGAUCUCCUGUGGAACCAUCAAAAAUCUCAGCUGUGGUAGGUCUCCUUUUGUGCUUGAUUUCCACAGGGCUGCACCCUGCGAUUUGCACACAGCAAAGUGAUAAUUUUCUUCCAUAGUGGCUGCAGUAAAUUUCUUAGAACUUCUAAUUCAUUUGAUCGAGGGCCAAGGGCUGGAGAAAAUGUAGCUGCUGCAACCACUGUUGUUGUUAUUAUGGUCAGAAAUAUAAUUCUAACUGGUGGUGGAAAGAGGCUGUGUCAGCUAGAACAGUGGGGCUAAACAUCAGCAGUGUCAAACGUGAAGGCCUCUUGGUUUUAGAAUAGCCUUUAUGUAUUUUCAUGUCUUUGAGAGGGCUCCACCUUUUAGGAUUCUGUAUUUUGAGAUCUUGCCUUCUGAGCAAAUAGGAACAGACAUGAUUGCUCUCCCAGAAACAUAGCUUUUUAGUAAACUACCUGUAGAGUUUUUACUGACACACAAAAGCCGAAUGUGAGCCUGCCUCUCUACUUCCAGACACAUCCCACCCAAGGGAAGAAGACACAUCUGCAUGGCAGUUUGUGUGCAGGCAUGACAGCAGAUAAAACCGCAAAAGUUCCCUCACCCACCAAGCGGUAGACGUUGGGCUAGAAGGCACUGCGCCCAGGUGAGCCUUGCAGUGCCUUGAACUGCCCAGGGGGCUUAGGAAUGCAGCGUCCCUUGUGCUCAGGAUGGGGUGGGGGGUAGCUGACGGUGUCUGGAGCUGUUCCUAAGUGAUGCAGUGCCCAUGCAGCCCUUGUACAGACAUGCCCUUAGAGCUAAGCACAAUUCUCAACACUCUGAAUUAUUGGGGAGAGUCUGAUUUGUUCCAGACAGAAAGACGUGGCUAACAGUUGUGAAUGUCUGCGCUUCAUUUGCCAACAACCAAAACGCUCAGCUGGCAGUGUUGUAUACCUCUGCCUGCCCAGCCUGUGCACCCUGGCUGCGUGAUGGGAAGAGGUCUGGAUGAGUAUUACCUCCUUCUGCUCCCUGUGGUACAAGAAGGAAAUCGGGGCACAUGAGCUAAGAGGGAUCUGCAGCACUCUUUGACCAAGGCCCUGUGGUAGAUGGUUGGACUGGGUGCCCAGGGCUUGGCAAUUUGCUCAUAAUGUUCAAAGCUUCAGCACGCUUAAUUAUCAAACCUGUCUAACUUUCCCUUGGCUGAAGAGCACCUCACCCUUCUCCCACGCACCCCGGACGAGGUCUGCUGGCAGGCCUAGGAGGUCGGGCAUGGCGGCUGAGGGUAGAGUGGGUUUCCACACUGGCAUCCUUUCAUAAGAAGAAGGAGGUCUUGGGCUGCAUCUAGGCCUGCUGACAGGUGCCUUCCAGCAGAGCAAGGGGAAGAGAUGGGAAGUGCCUCUCACUUUUCUCUUAUCCUACCAAUGCCUGUUUCCCCAUGGAGGGAAGGCAUCCCACCUCCUGGCUGCGUACGCUGCUGUCCCAUACCUUCCUGCAGGGAGCCUGACCAUACCCAACACUGGCAGCCUCACACUUGGAUUUGCUGAUGUUUCCGACACCAAACCGCAGCUGUCUCCUGGCGGUUGUGUUUGAGAAGAAUCAUAGAAUCAUAGAACACCCUGAGUUGGGAGGGAACCACAAGGAUCAUCAAGUCCAACUCCUGUCCCUGCACAGGGCAACCCCAAUUUAUACCAUAUCUCUGAGGGUGUUGUCCAAGUGCUUCUUGCCCAAGAAGAUUUCUUGGGUUUCUCUUCAGAGAAACCCUUGAGAAGAAGAGUUUCUCCACUUGCUGCCUUUUAUUGCCAGGUGAGCCAAGAUCACUGGCCAGGUCUCAGUCUGGUCUGCAGACCAAGUCACUUAA